rnacentral:rRNA from 7 species
CCUGGCGGCACUAGCGCGGUGGUCCCACCUGACCCCAUGCCGAACUCAGAAGUGAAACGCCGUAGCGCCGAUG